ensembl:snoRNA Small nucleolar RNA SNORA14
UUGGUAUCUCCAAUUUUCUUGAAGAGAUUUCUAGUCUUUCAAGACAGGAAUCAAGACCAUCCCCAAGAGAAAGAAAUGCAAAAAGGCAAAGCCUCCUCAGAUAGCCAUUUUGCCUUUUUGCAUUUCUUUCUCUUGAG